rnacentral:lncRNA from 1 species
AACAAUGUAAAACCAUGGUGCCAUGAUAUGGUCUCUAGAGAUAGAGAAGAGAUUAGGCAGAGAAGAUGUUUGCCAGUAUGCAUGAUUGAUUUCAUACUACUCCGUAUUUUUUUAUUCUCUUUAUUACGAGGUUAUUAUUUUGUUAGAAAAUGACGGACGAACUCUCCUCAGUGGUUGACUUUUUUUAAGGUAAUUUUUUAGAGAGGGGAGGUGUUUUUGGCAAAAGACCGCUCUAACGUCGUUUAUUGUGGACUGUUAGUCCACGUCAGCAAAUGGUGGGCUCCAUCUGUCAUAAUCAUUAUCUUUUUUUGCGGAAAGUCAUAAUCAUUAUCAAAUGAGCCAAAGCCGCCAACUAGUGUUUUUUGUAAAAGAUUAGGCCGAAAAUCAGUGGUUUCUGGCAGAAAUUCGUAAACUAGUGUUUUCUGCAAACCUAUGCUUCAAUGCGGUGGUUUUCUGCAAUUCACUCGGUCUCUAGAGAUAGAGAAGAGAUUAAGCAGAGAAGAUGUUGGCCCGUGUGCAUGAUUGAUUUGAUACUACUCCGUUUUUUUAUUCUCUUUAUUACGAGAAUAUUAUUUUGUUAGGAAAUGUGCAUGCAUCAAUCUAGUGUCCACCACCAAACCCAUGCGAGUUGGUGUGGUUGGCCGCCGCCAGUCUUGCUCCUACG